AGGAAUAUUUGAUGGAAUAAAUUUUGAGAAAUGACCUCAUCAUGACGAAGCAGAAUCCGGAGCUGCGGCUGCGCUCAGGGGGUUCUGCCCCCUCAAAAAACUUCCUUGGAAUUCCUCCAGAUCUAAUUCCUGAAGAUUUAAUUCCUCAGGAUUUUAAUUCCUCGGGAUUUUCAUGUUUUAAGGAAUAUUUGGUGAAAUAAAUAUUGGGAAAUGACCUUGUCAUGACUAAGCAGAAUCUGGAGCUGCGGCUGCGCUCUGGGGGUUCUGCCACCAAAAAUCUCCCUUGGAAUUCCUUGGGAUUCUAAUUCCUAAAGAUUUCAUUCCUCAGGAUUUUAAUUCCUUG